rfam:Zootermopsis nevadensis contig10804, whole genome shotgun sequence.
GCCACGGUGGUCUUGCGGUUAGAACGCUGGCCUUGUAAUCCUGAGGUCCUCGGGUUCGAUUCCCGGCGGUGCCC